rnacentral:rRNA from 1 species
CGGGUGAGUAAUGUAUGGGGAUCUGCCUGAUGGCGGGGGGUAACUACUGGAAACGGUAGCUAAUACCGCAUAAUGUCUACGGACCAAAGCGGGGGGACCUCCGGGCCUCGCGCCAUCAGAUGAACCCAUAUGGGAUUAGCUAGUAGGUGGGGUAACGGCUCACCUAGGCGACGAUCCCUAGCUGGUCUGAGAGGAUGACCAGCCACACUGGAACUGAGACACGGUCCAG